CGGGCCCGCACAAGCAGCGGAGCGUGUGGUUUAAUUCGAUGCUACACGAAGAACCUUACCAGGGUUUGACAUGCAAGUGGUAGGAAACCGAAAGGCGACCGACCUUCGGGGAGCUUGCACAGGUGCUGCAUGGCUGUCGUCAGCUCGCGUCGUGAGAUGUUCGGUUAAGUCCGCUAACGGGCGCAACCCUCGCUGUGUGUUACAAGUGUCACACGGUACUGCCGGUCUUAAGCCGGAGGAAGGUGGGGAUGACGUCAAGUCAGCAUGGCCUUUAUGUCCUGGGCUACACACACGCUACAAUGGCCAACACAAUAGGUUGCUAAGCCGCGAGGUGGAGCCAAUCCUCAAAGUUGGUCUCAGUUCAGAUUGCAGGCUGCAACCCGCCUGCAUGAAGAUGGAGUUGCUAGUAACCGCAGGUCAGCUAUACUGCGGUGAAUACGUUCCCGGGGCUU
rnacentral:rRNA from 1 species